CUUAGAAGUUUGAUCCUGGCUCAGGAUGAACGCUGGCGGCGUGCCUAACACAUGCAAGUCGAACGGAACUUCUUUGACAGAAUUCUUCGGAAGGAAGUUGAUUAAGUUUAGUGGCGGACGGGUGAGUAACGCGUGAGUAACCUGCCUUUGAGAGGGGAAUAACUUCCCGAAAGGGAUGCUAAUACCGCAUGACGCAUAUUUAUCGCAUGGUAGAUGUGCCAAAGAUUUAUCGCUCAAGGAUGGACUCGCGUCCGAUUAGCCAGUUGGCGGGGUAACGGCCCACCAAAGCGACGAUCGGUAGCCGGACUGAGAGGUUGAACGGCCACAUUGGGACUGAGACACGGCCCAGACUCCUACGGGAGGCAGCAGUGGGGGAUAUUGCGCAAUGGGGGAAACCCUGACGCAGCAACGCCGCGUGAAGGAUGAAGGUUUUCGGAUUGUAAACUUCUUUUAUUUAGGACGAACAAUGACGGUACUAAAUGAAUAAGCUCCGGCUAACUACGUGCCAGCAGCCGCGGUAAUACGUAGGGAGCAAGCGUUAUCCGGAUUUACUGGGUGUAAAGGGUGCGUAGGCGGCUUGGUAAGUCAGAUGUGAAAUGUAUGGGCUCAACCCAUGCACUGCAUUUGAAACUAUUGAGCUUGAGUGAAGUAGAGGUAGGCGGAAUUCCCUGUGUAGCGGUGAAAUGCGUAGAGAUAGGGAGGAACACCAGUGGCGAAGGCGGCCUACUGGGCUUUAACUGACGCUGAGGCACGAAAGCGUGGGUAGCAAACAGGAUUAGAUACCCUGGUAGUCCACGCUGUAAACGAUGAUUACUAGGUGUGGGGGGUCUGACCCCUUCCGUGCCGGAGUUAACACAAUAAGUAAUCCACCUGGGGAGUACGACCGCAAGAUUGAAA
rnacentral:rRNA from 1 species